rnacentral:rRNA from 1 species
UGGAGGCAGCAGUGGGGAAUAUUGCACAAUGGGCGAAAGCCUGAUGCAGCAACGCCGCGUGAGCGAUGAAGGCCUUCGGGUCGUAAAGCUCUGUCCUCAAGGAAGAUAAUGACGGUACUUGAGGAGGAAGCCCCGGCUAACUACGUGCCAGCAGCCGCGGUAAUACGUAGGGGGCUAGCGUUAUCCGGAUUUACUGGGCGUAAAGGGUGCGUAGGUGGUUUCUUAAGUCAGGAGUGAAAGGCUACGGCUCAACCGUAGUAAGCUCUUGAAACUGGGAAACUUGAGUGCAGGAGAGGAAAGUGGAAUUCCUAGUGUAGCGGUGAAAUGCGUAGAUAUUAGGAGGAACACCAGUAGCGAAGGCGGCUUUCUGGACUGUAACUGACACUGAGGCACGAAAGCGUGGGGAGCAAACAGGAUUAGAUACCCCUGUAG